rnacentral:rRNA from 1 species
UUCCGGUUGAUCCUGCCGGACCUGACUGCUAUCGGAUUGAUACUAAGCCAUGCGAGUCAUUGUAGCAAUACAAGGCAGACGGCUCAGUAACGCGUAGUCAACCUAACCUAUGGACGGGAAUAACCUCGGGAAAUUGAGAAUAAUGCCCGAUAGAACACUAUGCCUGGAAUGGUUUGUGUUCCAAAUGAUUUAUCGCCGUAGGAUGGGACUGCGGCCUAUCAGUUUGUUGGUGAGGUAAUGGCCCACCAAGACUAUUACAGGUACGGGCUCUGAGAGGAGUAGCCCGGAGAUGGGUACUGAGACACGGACCCAGGCCCUAUGGGGCGCAGCAGGCGAGAAAACUUUGCAAUGUGCGAAAGCACGACAAGGUUAAUCCGAGUGGUUUGUGCUAAACAGACCUUUUGUUAGUCCUAGAAACACUAACGAAUAAGGGGUGGGCAAGUUCUGGUGUCAGCCGCCGCGGUAAAACCAGCACCUCAAGUGGUCAGGAUGAUUAUUGGGCCUAAAGCAUCCGUAGCCGGCUCUGUAAGUUUUCGGUUAAAUCUGUAUGCUCAACAUACAGGCUGCCGGGAAUACUGCAGAGCUAGGGAGUGGGAGAGGUAGACGGUACUCGGUAGGAAGGGGUAAAAUCCUUUGAUCUAUUGAUGACCACCUGUGGCGAAGGCGGUCUACCAGAACACGUCCGA